UGACAUUUUUCUUGAGGAAGGGGAAAGAGGGAGAAAAAUUUGAACCAUGACAUUUUAUAAAAAAAUGAAUGUUGAAAAUUAUCUUUAUAUGUUAUUGGGAAAUAAAAAACUAUUUAAAAGAGAAAGAGAAAUGUUAACUGUGGACAACAGACCUGUUCUGCUUGGAGAAGAAAAGUAUCAGAGGAUCAGAGGAUGCAAGGACACCAUCAACAGAGAGCAGAUGAAAAGAGUAGAAUAAUCUUCGGCUUACAUAUAUGCAGGGAACCACGUGCAUCAGGGAACUACGUGGCCCCAGGAGAGGAUGGAACCACAUGGCUCCAGAGAUGGCAGCAGGCAGAGCAAAAUGAGUAUUUCCAGGACGACGCUGGGAGCUGAAGUACAAUGAUGGAGCAGGAACAGUGGAUUGAUGGUGGGUUUCAUGCACCAAACCUCUUGGAUUCAGAGGAGGGCUUCCCAGAGAAUCCUGAGAUUCUGGAUCAGGCAAAGGAGCUCUUGGCCCAAACAUGAGCAGCAAAUGAUGUCACCAUGAUAUAGAGCAGAGGUGUCAGACACUCAACCUACAAGCUGCAUGUGGCCCACAAUACUCUGGAGUGUUACCUGAAACAGAUUAAAAUAUAAAUGAGAUACAUUUAAAUAACUUUUUUUUUUAAUGGAUGUUAAAAUUUUAAAACAUGUGAUUUGGAAUUUAAAGGAUGAGUAGGGUUCAACACAUAAAGAAAGGAAGAAGGGCAUUCUAGGUAUAGAGAACAGGGUGAGCAAAGGUAUGGGUGAAUAACCCAGUUUGAGAUCAGAGCACACUUGACUGGAAAAGCAAGGGGUUACCAAAUAGUGGAAAGCCAAGAAAAAAGUGUAUAUUUUACAUUGAUGAGACAAUAGGGAGGGGCAGAGGAAAGAUAACAAAUUCAUUUUGGGUUUUGUACAGAGAAGGUAGGGUAUUGAGGGUAUCGCAAUAUUUCAGAUCAAUAUAAACAAUAGUAAAAGAGUGCAGAUGUCAGUGUUAUGGCGGUAGAGUUAUCACCACAACUUAUUAACCUUUUUGUUUAGUCAUUUCAGCAGUAUCCAACUUUUGGGGGCCACAUUGGGGUUUUCUUGGGGGAGAUACUGGAAUGGUUUACCAUUUCCUCCUUCAGCUUAUUUUGCGGCUGAAGAAACUGAGGCAGACAAGAUUGAGUAAUUUAGCCAGGCUUACAUAGCUAGGAAGUGCCUGAAGCCAAAUUUUAACUCUACUCUUCCUGACAUCGGGCUCACAGCUCUUUCCACUGCAACACCUUGCUGCCCACAUCAAUCCAUAAGCACUGCUUAUGUGGCAAAUACUUUGCUGAGGUCUUUCCUCUUAGGAAAGUCUCUUAGGCAAAAUAAUGUCUGCACCAAUAAUUACAUGUGAAGUAAAUCUACUUUGAGAUUAACUGAUGAAGUAUUAGGAAAAUGUGUGAGAUAGGCUUUAAGAGAAACUCUUUUAACAGAAGAGGAAAUACAUUUCAAGCAUAGGGAAAAGCUUGGAGAAAGGGACAGAGAAUCUUGAGGAAGUUCCAUUGGAAGGAAUAGGGAAGCCCAGACAAGAGUAGUUAGAAAGGAAGGAAAACCAGAAGAGCUGUGGUAUUUUUGAAAGAUCAAGAAAGAUGACAAAAAGUUACUGGGUUUGACAGGAAGUCAUUGGUGACUUUUGGGAGAAUACGUCAGUGAUGAGACAGAAUUAGAUUGCAAAGGAUUGAGAGUAGUGAAGAGGAAGGUAGAGAAGUUUACAAAUGAGAGGGGAUAGCUAGGUGGUGCAGUGGAUAGAUAGCACACUGGAUCCGAAAUUAAGAUGAGUUCAGAUCCUACCACAAAUACCAGCUAUGUGAUCUGAUUGACUCAAAAAAAAAAAAAAAAAGAAUGAAAAUUUGGGCAAAUUUGUAGGUAGAGGGUGAGGAGUCAGAGGUGAGAGCAUGAGAAAGACCGCAUGGCUUCUGGAGCAAAGUGACCUGGUUCAGGUUCUUAGGCCAUCAUCUUGAUGACUCAUUCACAAGGUAACUCCCCCUCCCAUCUCCUGCAAGCCCUUGCCCUGAAAUACUAAAAGUAAAUAGUUAUAGAAAUACUCAUAACUUCUACUCACUUCUGGAUGAGUACUAUCACACAUUCAGAGAAAUAUAGUAUGUUUUUCAGACAGGAGUCUAGACUUAAUUUUUUAAAAAAAGAUUAGUCUUUCAUCAGUUUAUUUCUGAAUUCUUUUAACAGUGUAAAUAGAAAACACUGUGGAUACAGAUUCAUAAAGGACAAAGUACCAGCUACAUGAAUGUGAGCUAUUACCAUUAUUACAUUUUUGUCAUUCUUACAUAGAAUUCAACCACACUAAUCAAACAGGCCUUUCUAGUUUUUUUUUUUCUUUUAAAAGUUCUAAAUAGUCUUAAUUACUUAAAGGUUCAUUGGAUUCUCCAGGCCAAUGAAUACAGAGCAUUCAGAUUAUAUUUCUAUCCAAAGCUCAGUGAGUUUGAAAAAAUUUUAAAUGUGCAGUGAAGGAUAUUUUCCAUCCUCCUAGAUGCCAAAACUUUGAAAGUGACUUAAAGAUAAUUAGGCCACAAAAUAGUCAUUAGACCUAUUUUUGGUAGUCUAAAAUAUUGACAUUUUGAAUGCAUAUAGAAUACAAUGCACAGGCUGUGGCCUGAGUUUAUCAUGUUUACUGAAAAUUCUUGUAGAGUCAAGUCCUUAUUUUGAAGAAAACAAUUUAGAGUGUGUUACUGAAUUAUUUGUGGCUCUUUAAAAAAAUAAAAGGAGUAUAAUGGUAUCCUAGGCAGAGAAUCAAGGUUCAAAUUCUACUAAUUACAACUUUGUGACCUUUCCAUAAGUCUCUUUAUGUCUCUGGAUCUUAGUUUUCCUCAUCUACAAAGUGGGGAUAGUAAGACUUAUUUUACCUAUAUGAUUAAAUUGUGUCUUAAUCUGGAAUCUCUGACAACUCUCCAAGUCAGUAUAGUAGGGAAUUAAUAUAGCAGGAAAUAAGAUUGCAAAGGGUAACCUGGAAGUCAUCUACAAAUCAUCCCAAAGAUAAAAGAAGAAUGAUUUAUAAAUAACCAAAAUUCACAUUCUGGUAGUAUGUGUUAGAUCAGUAGAAACCAUCUGAAUGUUGCUAUUAGGACCUUCUUGUCCUAUGAUGUAUAAAUCUCAGACAAGUUCCAGAUCUCCACAGUAAGGCCAGCAGAGUAAAAAGUGCUGAUCAUUUUAAGAUGUGGACAUAGUGGAUGAAUUAACCCCCAAGAUAGCAAAUAGGAGCUGUCUUCCCCUCAAAACCCUUAUAAAAAUGGGACUUCAAAUUCCUCCUCCCCUCCACGCUCUAUCUCCAUUGGGUCCAUGCUGCUGAGUACUCCAAAUCUAUGGUUAUAUGAGUGGUGGUUUGCCUCUUCUCCCUUUGCUCUUCCUUAGGGUGCCCAUCUCCUUUUACUGUUCCAUCCCUUGUCCCCUUACCAUCUGCCUCGGUACCUUUUGCCUCUUGUUUGUGUACCCUUCUGUGCCUUCCUAAAAUAGGAUUGCAGCCCCAAUUCCUAGUGCUAUCAUCGGCUUUUCCAGCAAGUAUUCAAAGAACCAUUCCUGUCCCCAUUUCAACCCACCUCAUAAGUUAGGAAUAUCGUAUAAACAAUGAAGUAGUAUAGGGUUGGCAGAGAGAAUGGGCAGGUAUUCUCAUACAAGAGACACGAUGACUCAUUGUUAAAAGGACUUGGUAUUUUAAUGUUAUGAAAAACUUGAUUCCUUGAUUGUCUUCUCCCUUCCCAGAACAAGGGAUAUUGAGUUUCUGCCUGACAGUUUCUUGACCAUAUCUCUCUAGGUGGCCAGAUAGUAUUCUUAGGAAAGGGUGGAGAAAGAAAGGGUCUUUUUCUUGUUCCAGUCCCACAGGCUGGCUUGUAUGGGAUUCCUCCUGCUAGCUUUCAUCUUUUUUGCAUUUCUUUCCCUUUAAUUGGUGUCCAUGAGAGAAUGUCUGCAGAGUUCUGUGAGUGGGGUUAGUACUGUCUACCAGAAGAGAGCCGGUUACAGCAGGAACUGAGAGCUAGCUGGCAGCAGGGGAGCUAGUGCACUGCAGACUGGCCUGUCAAUGAGUCACCAUAUAUGGCUGGAAGUGGCCCUAAAAUUGCUGUAUGGACUGGAAGUAAGCAGAUAAUUAGUAGGAGAUAGAUGAUAAAAAGAAAUGGAUAUUGAUUGAUUGAUAGGUAAAUAGAGUAAGCAAACAGUAAGUAUAUGCCAGGCACUGCAAAGCACUGACAUGCAAAUAAGAACUCUUCCUGUCAAGUAGGUAAUAAGUGGAAAGAAUUUUAAAUAGAGUAUCAUUUUCUUGGGAUGAUUAUAUAUUGACAAAAUAUCCUUUAUUCUGUUAAGUUUGGAAAAGGACUUCAGACAGGGGUACCAAGAUUUUAAUAUUUUUUUUCCUUUUGCUGAGGCAAUUGGGAUUAAGUGACUUUCCCAGGGUCACACAGCUAGGAAGUGUUAAGUGUCAGAGGGCAAAUUUGAACUCAGAUACUCCUGACUUCGGGCUGGUGCUCUAUACACUGUGCCACCUCACUGCUCCGAAAGUAUUUUACUAUUUCUAUAAGAGUUCAUAGGCUUCCAUAGUGCAAAUCCAUAUUAAACUCAUUGGUAAGAAUGAUUUUGAACAACUAUUUCCCAGUAGUUAAAGGGUCUCAAAAGAAUUUGCAUACUAUUAACUACUUGAAAAAAUGUUCUAAAAAAGACAGAUAUAGAUCAAAACAACUAUGAAGUUUCACCUCAUAUCCAACAAAUUGGCAAAGAUGACAAAAUAUAGAAGGAAGCAAUUUUGGAGAGAAGUUGUAAAAAAGAGGUCACAUUAAUAUGUUGCUGGUGCAGCUGUUACAGCCAUCUUGGAAAACAGUUUGAAAUUGUGUAAAGUGACUAAAAUGUCUAUACUCUUAGACCUCUAGGUUCCACUGCUUGCCAAUACUUCAAUGUAGUGGGUGAAUGACAGAAAUUCAUACUAAAACAUUUAUAGCCAAACUUUGGGGUAGGAAAGAACUAGAAACAAGUAGAUGCCCAUCAGCUCGGGGAAUAGUUAACAAAUUGUGAUGCAUGAAUGUGAUUGGAUAUUACAGUGUUUUAAGAGUUGAUGAAUACAGGCAGGAGCUGAAAGAUAUGAACUGGUAUAAAAUGAAGUUAGCAGAACUAGGAAAAUAAUGUGCCCAAGUACAGUAGGGCAAAUAGGACAAAACAAUUGAAACUGAAUGUUGUGAAAUCAUAUUGGCCAAACUUGACUCCAAAGAAAAGAUGAAAAGACAUGCCCUCCUUGCUUGCUUUUACAGCUGUGGUUUUUCAGGCAUGGAACAUUGCAUAAAAUAUCUUUUACUAAUGUGUUGGUUGGUUUUAAUGAUUUUUUCCCUUCAUUUUAAUUCUCUGUUACAAGAGAUAGUUCUCUGGAAGGGAGUGGAGAAAAAGAUACUAAGGAAAUUGCAGGUGAUGUAAAAAACAAAAGAUAUCACUUAAGAUCUAAAUUUUUUUGAAAGACCCAAAUAUUUCUCUGAUUGUCUAUCAAACCAUACUUUCAUUUAUUCAAACCAGUCUUGUGAAGAUGCCAUAUUUCAUGUUAUCUUAAAAUGUCAGAGCUGGGAUCUCUUAGCACAUUUCCUUCAUGGCAGCACUCAUUUUAGCUUUUCCACAAGCCUCAAAGUAACUCACCAUGGGGAAAUGUUAUCAUCUUGCAAUAUUCAAUCAUACUUAUUUUUCACAUCUCUUCAGCAGAGGGUACCAGACUGACAUCUCUUUUCUCAAGUAGAACUCAUUUUAAAUUCUCCACACUUUCUCUUCCGUCCCCUCACAAAGGACUUUUCCUUAUCUUUCAUUUUUAGCUUUCCUUUGUACAUUGUCUUCCCUCAUUAUAUUAUAAGUUCCCUGAGGGCAGGGACUGAUUGUUGAGCUUUUGGAGGGAGGUUGUUUUUUUGUAUUUAUAUCCCAAGCACUUUAGCAUAGUAUUUGGCAUAUAGUAGGUACUUUUAUUAAGUUUGUUAGCUAAAUUGGUAUCUCAUUUUUAUAACACCUUGAGGUUUAAAAUAGGCUAUCUUAUAAGGUAGGCAGUAUUAUAAUCCUAUCAUUUUAUAAAUGGGAAAACCAAGUGCUCAUUGAGUAUAAAGCAUCCCAGUCAGAGUUAGUUGUUUGUUUUGGAGACAAGACUUGAAACCAGUCUUUCUGAGUCCAACUUUACUAUGUCAAAUGUUCUUAACACUAGGGUGCCUCUGAAAGGGACUUUAAACUACAAAGACUCAGGAAUAAUCAAAACUGUAGUAGAUAAUGCCUUGCAGAAAAUGAGUGAAAUAGCUCCUUUUGGAGGGGAGAGGAGUUGAGGGAAGGAGGAGAGACAUGAAAGCUGUUUUCAGUUAUGUGAAGGAUUGUGAUAUGGAAGAAGUUAUUAGACUUAUUAGAACUCAGAAGUUAGAGAAUUAAAUAUACUUGUGGGUGAGCUUUCUUUUGUUUUACUAAAGCAGUUGGCAUUAAGUGACUUGCCCAGGGUCACAGCUAGGAAGUGUUAAGUGUCUGAGGUCACAUUUGAACUCAGGUUCUCCUGACUACAGGGCUGGUAUUCUAUCCACUGCACCACCUACCUGCCCCAGUGGUAAGCUUUUGAAUGGCAUUUGGGAUUCUUCAUAUGGAUUAUAGUAGAACUCUUGGCGACUCCUGAAAGAUGAACUUUAUUUAUGCUGGCCAGAUUGCCUGUGACUCUUGUGGCACUAACUCUUGAGAUAGAAGUGCCCCCUAUGGGGAGAAGUUCUCAAUAGAAGGGAACUUCCAGAUCUCUAGUGGACCCCCACUCCAUCUAUUCCCAAGAUCCUGAGUGUAAAGAAUGGUUCUAGAUUAUUAUUUAAGGUAUUUUAAGAAAUCUUUGUUUUUAAUUUGUGAAAUAAAACAAACAUUUCCAUAACAUCAUAAAAUGGAAAAAAAGAUGAUUGCACAUGAAAUUGCAAAUCUGUUACGUACAACUGUUUCUUUUAACUAUAUAAUAAAGUUAUAAUAUAAA